rnacentral:misc_RNA from 1 species
UGAAACAUAACAUGAAAUUACACAAAAGUAGAACUGCUCAAAAGAUGAGAAAAGAUCUCGAACCUUUAAGAUCCCAAAAAAAUGCACCAAACUAAUCAAAGGCCCAUGGGAAUGGACUCACCAAGUCGAGGCGAUGUUCAGACAUGAAGGGUGACUGCUAGACGUCGCCAGAGGAUAAUGCACGUGUGGUCACUCACCGGCGUGUGGAACAGGAUACAUAAACUAAGAGUGGUGCGUGGAGGCCACUCUUUCCAAAUGCGGUCACUGGACUUUCAAGGAUGGCUGGUCGGCACCUAGGUCACAUUCUGAGGUUGGUGGUGAGACACCCAAGUAGGUCACAUCCUAGGUUACAGUUGGUUUCGAUCAGUUUAAUAGAAAAAUCUCAGGAAAGAAUUUAGGCUAUGGGACCUACUCCGAUAUCAUGAAGAGGAAGGUGGUUUUUCUAUAUAUCAAUUUCAAUUAAGAGCACAUAGAUAUUUUUAGACAAAGAAUACUGCAU